GAUGAACGCUAGCUACAGGCUUAACACAUGCAAGUCGAGGGGCAGCAUAUUGAUAGCUUGCUAUCAGUGAUGGCGACCGGCGCACGGGUGAGUAACGCGUAUCCAACCUGCCUGUCACUCAGGAAUAGCCCGGUGAAAAACCGGNUUAAGUCCUGAUGAUAUCAUUAGAGGGCAUCUGACGAUGAUUAAAGGUUACGGUGACGGAUGGGGAUGCGUCUGAUUAGCUUGUUGGCGGGGUUAACGGGCCCCACCCAAAGGGCAACGAUCAGUAGGGGUUCUGAGAGGAAGGUCCCCCACGAUUGGAACUGAGACAACGGUCCAAACUCCUACGGAGGCAGCAGUUGAGGAAUAUUGGUCGAAUGGGCGAGAGCCUG
rnacentral:rRNA from 1 species